GAUGUUGUUCUCGACUGAAAAGAGCCGUGUAUAACGACGACAUAACGUCGGGGUGGCAUCCGCACCGCUCGUGGCCGAGUCCAGGGUGCCUCCUUCGUGCCAGGCUGGGCACAGCUGUCGCUGACUCACGGGGCAGGGCCGACGUCGGUUUAGGGCUGCGGUUGUGGCAAAGGCCUGUGCUUGGCGGAUCUAUGCAGCCUUGGCUCCCUCCUGUCUUACUUGGGGCCUUUUCUCCCCGUGGCACGGUAGUAUGUGGGAUUAAUGCUGGUGUGAGGGGACUGGAGAGAAAGCAACCUCUUCUACUGUGGUUACACGUUGAAAGUAGCCAUCCCAGGCAUUCCAAACAUUCCUGCAUUGUUUAGGUAAUAUUUUAAAGUAGGAACAGUCAAAAUGAAGGCAAUCUGAAUAAACUUAAAAGUUGUGGCCCUCCAGCUCUGACUCUUAAUUAAGAGUUAUGAUGCUCAGCUUGCAGCUGGUAACACCUUGACCUAGCAUUAAAAAAGAGGGUAAGAAGUCCUUUUUUGCUCUUCCGAAGCAUAUAAAUUCAUUAAAUGGAGGGAAAAAUGCAAAAAGACCAGUAGCGGAAAUGGAGACACUGGUUAUCAUAUUUGGGACCCUAAGGUUCCUGAAGCAGAGAUGUAUUUGCCAGUUGUGUUUCCCAUAUUUAGCUUUCAAGUGAUAUACUUUCUCACUGUGUUAAUGCUUUUUUUCUUUAUAAAACCUAAAAAUACUGAACGUUUUUCAGGUAAGAAUUUGGAAAACUCACUUUCCUGCCCUCUUGGGAUUUCAGCCGUUAUGCUGUUUGAUAUUCCUUUGUUUUAUACCCCAUUUCUCUACCAGACGUCCAUCUGAAAGUCCACUGUGUCCAGAUGAAUGCCUGCUAAAAUAACUGCUGUAGUUAAACCUCACUGUAAACCAUAUAUACCUGUGUAUAGUGCUUUUAACUAAAAAACAGAAAACGUAAAAGCUGAAUUACUUAAGCCUUUUUUUUUU
rnacentral:lncRNA from 1 species